AGAGUUUGAUCAUGGCUCAGGAUGAACGCUGGCGGCGUGCUUAACAUAUGCAAGUCGAACGAAGCACUUUAUUUGAUUUCUUCGGAAUGAAGAUUUUGUGACUGAGUGGCGGACGGGUGAGUAACGCGUGGGUAACCUGCCUCAUACAGGGGGAUAACAGUUGGAAACGACUGCUAAUACCGCAUAAGCGCACAGGGUCGCAUGACCUGGUGUGAAAAACUCCGGUGGUAUGAGAUGGACCCGCGUCUGAUUAGCCAGUUGGUGGGGUAACGGCCUACCAAAGCGACGAUCAGUAGCCGACCUGAGAGGGUGACCGGCCACAUUGGGACUGAGACACGGCCCAAACUCCUACGGGAGGCAGCAGUGGGGAAUAUUGCACAAUGGGGGAAACCCUGAUGCAGCGACGCCGCGUGAGCGAAGAAGUAUUUCGGUAUGUAAAGCUCUAUCAGCAGGGAAGAAGAAAUGACGGUACCUGACUAAGAAGCACCGGCUAAAUACGUGCCAGCAGCCGCGGUAAUACGUAUGGUGCAAGCGUUAUCCGGAUUUACUGGGUGUAAAGGGAGCGCAGGCGGUACGGCAAGUCUGAUGUGAAAGCCCGGGGCUCAACCCCGGUACUGCAUUGGAAACUGUCGGACUAGAGUGUCGGAGGGGUAAGUGGAAUUCCUAGUGUAGCGGUGAAAUGCGUAGAUAUUAGGAGGAACACCAGUGGCGAAGGCGGCUUACUGGACGAUUACUGACGCUGAGGCUCGAAAGCGUGGGGAGCAAACAGGAUUAGAUACCCUGGUAGUCCACGCUGUAAACGAUGAAUACUAGGUGUCGGGGAGCAUUGCUCUUCGGUGCCGCAGCAAAUGCAAUAAGUAUUCCACCUGGGGAGUACGUUCGCAAGAAUGAAACUCAAAGGAAUUGACGGGGACCCGCACAAGCGGUGGAGCAUGUGGUCUAAUUCGAAGCAACGCGAAGAACCUUACCAAGUCUUGACAUCCCGAUGACAGAACAUGUAAUGUGUUUUCUCUUCGGAGCAUCGGUGACAGGUGGUGCAUGGUUGUCGUCAGCUCGUGUCGUGAGAUGUUGGGUUAAGUCCCGCAACGAGCGCAGCCCCUAUUCUUAGUAGCCAGCGGUUCGGCCGGGCACUCUAGGGAGACUGCCAGGGAUAACCUGGAGGAAGGUGGGGAUGACGUCAAAUCAUCAUGCCCCUUAUGACUUGGGCUACACACGUGCUACAAUGGCGUAAACAAAGGGAAGCGAGCCUGCGAGGGGGAGCAAAUCUCAAAAAUAACGUCUCAGUUCGGACUGCAGUCUGCAACUCGACUGCACGAAGCUGGAAUCGCUAGUAAUCGCGAAUCAGAAUGUCGCGGUGAAUACGUUCCCGGGUCUUGUACACACCGCCCGUCACACCAUGGGAGUUGGUAAUGCCCGAAGUCAGUGACCUAACCGCAAGGAGGGAGCUGCCGAAGGCAGGAUCGAUAACUGGGGUGAAGUCGUAACAAGGUA
rnacentral:rRNA from 1 species